rnacentral:rRNA from 1 species
UACAGAGGGUGCAAGCGUUAAUCGGAAUUACUGGGCGUAAAGCGUGCGUAGACGGUUAUUUAAGUCAGGUGUGAAAGCCCCGGGCUCUACCUGGGAAUUGCAUUUGAGACUGAAUAGCUAGGGUGCGGAAGAGGGAAGCGGAAUUUCCGGUGUAGCGGUGAAAUGCGUAGAUAUCGGAAGGAACACCAGUGGCGAAAGCGGCUUCCUGGUCCAGCACCGACGUUCAGGCACGAAAGCGUGGGGAGCAAACAGG